rfam:Megamonas hypermegale ART12/1 draft genome.
AAAAAUAUGAAGAAAAGGAAUAGUAAAAUUAUUUUCUUUUACAGAGAGCUGUUGAUUGGUGCAAAACAGUAAGGAAGAUUUUUUGAACUCGCCUUGGAAUAGCUGGCUGAACAUCUUAGAUUAUAGAUAAUUAGGUUAAGUCGGUACUCGACCGUUAUAUUGAGUUUAAAAAUGAGUGCAUGUAGAUAUUUUUACAUGAAUAAGAGUGGUAACGCGUAAGUACAGCUUUCGUCUCUAGU